rnacentral:rRNA from 1 species
UACGUAGGGUGCAAGCGUUAAUCGGAAUUACUGGGCGUAAAGCGUGCGCAGGCGGUUCGACAAGACAGAUGUGAAAUCCCCGGGCUUAACCUGGGAACUGCAUUUGUGACUGGCGGGCUAGAGUAUGGCAGAGGGGGGUAGAAUUCCACGUGUAGCAGUGAAAUGCGUAGAGAUGUGGAGGAAUACCGAUGGCGAAGGCAGCCCCCUGGGCCAAUACUGACGCUCAUGCACGAAAGCGUGGGGAGCAAACAGG